rnacentral:misc_RNA from 1 species
AAAGUCGUAACAAGGUUUCCGUAGGUGAACCUGCGGAAGGAUCAUUAGAAUAUCGGGAAUUUAUUUUCCUAAUACUUUAUUCAAAAAAUUUUCAAUCUACAAAUUUUUUUUUUUAAAAAAAAUGAAAAAUAUAAAUUAAGAUAACUUUCAACAACGGAUCUCUAGGUUCUU